CUACGGGCUGCAGCAGUCGAGAAUCAUCCGCAAUGGGCGAAAGCCUGACGGUGCAAUGCCGCGUGGGGGAUGAAGGCCCUCGGGUCGUAAACCCCUGUCAGGAGGGACGAAGAAGUGACGGUACCUCCAGAGGAAGCCACGGCUAACUACGUGCCAGCAGCCGCGGUAAUACGUGGGUGGCGAGCGUUAUUCGGAUUUACUGGGCGUAAAGGGUCCGCAGGGGGUUUGCCAAGUCUGGUGUGAAAUCUCACAGCUCAACUGUGAAACUGCGCUGGAUACUGGUGAACUAGAGUGCGCGAGGGGUGAGUGGAAUUCCUGGUGUAGCGGUGGAAUGCGUAGAUAUCAGGAAGAACACCAACGGCGAAGGCAGCUCACUGGUGCGCAACUGACCCUCAUGGACGAAAGCGUGGGUAGCAAACAGGAUUAGAUACCCUUGUAGUC
rnacentral:rRNA from 1 species